ensembl:piRNA 21ur-13020 ncRNA
UUAUUUUUAUGUAUAUUCGAA